rnacentral:misc_RNA from 1 species
GGUGCUCGAGAGCAGGACAACACUCGAAAAGCUUUGCAAAAUCAAGUUCCUCUGCUUGAAUAUAGUCACCAUACAGCAAUAAUUUUACCAGACGAGGGACAUUCUUAAGGCAGACACAACUUAUAUUGCCUGUGAGAUCAAACGAUUUCAACAUGGGGGCAUUAAUUUCAAUUGCGUCUAACCUGUCUCCAAUAUCCAGACCCAACUCCUCAAGCAACGGGCAAUGAAAUAUUAAACUUUC